GUGGGGAAUUUUGGGCAAUGGGCGAAAGCCUGACCCAGCAACGCCGCGUGGAGGACGAAGACUUUCGGGUCGUAAACUCCUGUCCGAAGGGACGAAGACAGUGACGGUACCUUUGGAGGAAGCCCCGGCUAACUCCGUGCCAGCAGCCGCGGUAAUACGGGGGGGGCAAGCGUUGUUCGGAAUUACUGGGCGUAAAGGGCGCGUAGGCGGUUUCGGCAGUCAUGGGUGAAAGCCCUCGGCUCAACCGGGGAAUGGCCUGUGAAACCACGGAACUGGAGUGCUGGAGAGGGAAGCGGAAUUCCCAGUGUAGCGGUGAAAUGCGUAGAUAUUGGGAGGAACACCGGAGGCGAAGGCGGCUUCCUGGACAGACACUGACGCUGAGGCGCGAAAGCCAGGGGAGCAAACGGGAUUAGAAACCCCUGUAGUCC
rnacentral:rRNA from 1 species